GUGCUCGCUGCAGCAGCACAUAUACUAAAAUUGGAAAGAUACAGAGAAGAUUGGCACAGGCCCUGUGUGAGGAUGACACACAAAUUCAUGAAGCAUUCCGUAUUUUU
ensembl:snRNA U6 U6 spliceosomal RNA